AAUCUUGCGCAAUGGUCGAAAGACUGACGCAGCGACGCCGCGUGCGGGAGGAGGCCCUUCGGGGUGUAAACCGCUGUUACUCGGGACGAACCUCCUGUUGCGACAGGAUUGACGGUACCGGGGGAGGAAGCACCGGCUAACUCUGUGCCAGCAGCCGCGGUAAUACAGAGGGUGCGAGCGUUGUCCGGAAUCACUGGGCGUAAAGGGCGCGUAGGCGGCUUUUCAAGCGUGCGGUGAAAGCUCGGAGCUUAACUCCGAGUCUGCCGUGCGAACUGGGAGGCUUGAGUCUGGUAGAGGUCGAUGGAAUUCCGGGUGUAGCGGUGGAAUGCGUAGAGAUCCGGAAGAACACCGGUGGCGAAGGCGGUCGACUGGGCCAGUACUGACGCUGAGGCGCGACAGCGUGGGGAGCAAAC
rnacentral:rRNA from 1 species